rnacentral:sRNA from 1 species
GCGGUAACUGUGCCGGUGCAGGGAAAUGUGACAUUUCGACUGGUUUUUGUAAUGAAGGAUGCAAACCCGGGUAUAUGGGUUACGACUGUAGACAGAGAUGCGGUAACUGUGCCGGUGCAGGAAAAUGUAACAUUUCGACUGGUUAUUGUGACGAAGAUUGCAACCCUGGGUACAUGGGUUACGACUGUAGACGAAGGUGCGGCUACUGUUCCGGUGCGGGAGAUUGUAAUAUUUUGACUGGUCAGUGUGACCAAGGAUGCAGACCCGGGUACAUGGCUUUCGACUGCA